UACAGAGGUCUCAAGCGUUGUUCGGAUUCAUUGGGCGUAAAGGGUGCGUAGGUGGCGUGGUAAGUCGGGUGUGAAAUUUCGGAGCUUAACUCCGAAACUGCAUUCGAUACUGCCCUGCUCGAGGACUGGAGAGGAGACUGGAAUUUACGGUGUAGCAGUGAAAUGCGUAGAGAUCGUAAGGAAGACCAGUGGCGAAGGCGGGUCUCUGGACAGUUCCUGACACUGAGGCACGAAGGCCAGGGGAGCAAACGGG
rnacentral:rRNA from 1 species